ensembl:snRNA U6 U6 spliceosomal RNA
ACACUUGCUUCGGUAGCUUAUAUACCAAAAUCGGAAUGAUACAGAGAUGAUUAGCAUGGCCCCGGCAUAAGGAUGACAUGAAAAUUUGUGAAGUGUUCCAUAUUUUG